UACGUAGGGUGCAAGCGUUGUCCGGAAUUAUUGGGCGUAAAGCGCGUGUAGGCGGCUUAGCAAGUCGGGCGUGAAAGCCCUCGGCUCAACCGAGGAAGUGCACCCGAAACUGCUGAGCUUGAGUGCCGGAGAGGAUGGCGGAAUUCCCCAAGUAGAGGUGAAAUUCGUAGAUAUGGGGAGGAACACCGGUGGCGAAGGCGGCCAUCUGGACGGUAACUGACGCUGAGACGCGAAAGCGUGGGUAGCAAACAGG
rnacentral:rRNA from 1 species